rnacentral:rRNA from 1 species
AAAGGGGGGCAACCCCCGAGUAGAGUGGCGAACGGGUGAGUAAUACAUCGGAACGUACCCAGUAGCGGGGGAUAACCUCUCGAAAGAGAGGCUAAUACCGCAUACGACCUACGGGUGAAAGAGGGGGAUCGCAAGACCUCUCACUAUUGGAGCGGCCGAUGUCGGAUUAGCUAGUUGGUGGGGUAAAAGCCUACCAAGGCGACGAUCCGUAGCUGGUCUGAGAGGACGGCCAGCCACACUGGAACUGAGACACGGUCCAGACUCCUACGGGAGGCAGCAGUGGGGAAUUUUGGACAAUGGGCGAAAGCCUGAUCCAGCCAUGCCGCGUGAGUGAAGAAGGCCUUCGGGUUGUAAAGCUCUUUCGGCUGGGACGAAAAGGUCCGUGCUAACACCACGGAUCCAUGACGGUACCAGCAGAAGAAGCACCGGCUAACUACGUGCCAGCAGCCGCGGUAAUACGUAGGGUGCAGGCGUUAAUCGGAAUUACUGGGCGUAAAGCGUGCGCAGGCGGUUUGCUAAGACAGGUGUGAAAUCCCCGGGCUUAACCUGGGAACUGCGCUUGUAACUGGCAAGCUAGAGUGUGGCAGAGGGGGGUGGAAUUCCACGUGUAGCAGUGAAAUGCGUAGAGAUGUGGAGGAACACCGAUGGCGAAGGCAGCCCCCUGGGCUAACACUGACGCUCAUGCACGAAAGCGUGGGGAGCAAACAGGAUUAGAUACCCUGGUAGUCCACGCCCUAAACUAUGUCAACUGGUUGUCGGGGAAGCAAUUCCUUGGUAACGAAGCUAACGCGUGAAGUUGACCGCCU